rfam:Gossypium hirsutum cultivar TM-1 unplaced genomic scaffold scaffold683.1, whole genome shotgun sequence
UAUUAAAAGUUUCAUCCAUUUUUGUUGUUAAAAACUAACAUGAAUGACGAAAUAAUUAGGUAGUUGCAUGUGACGUGUCACAUGUACCUCAUGUUUAUUACAUGGACUAAUUUUUAACAAUAACAAUGGAUAAUUUUUUUUAACA